rnacentral:lncRNA from 10 species
ACAGAGUCUCACUUUGUCAUCCAGGCUGGAGUGCAGUGGUGUGAUCUCGGCUCACUAUAGCCUUGACUUCCUGGGCUCAAGCAAUGGGACUGCCAGGCUCAUAUGCCAACUGUGUAGCAACAGACCAACACAGUGAGACAGUGAGGUUUGCAACAGAGAAUGCAAGACCACUGAGAGAGGAGAUGGGAGAAAUCCUCAAGCCUCAAAUCUAUCUCCUCAAGGGGUUCUUGGUAUAUUUCAGGUGUAUAUAUUU